rnacentral:misc_RNA from 1 species
UUCUUGACGUGCUCUGCAUGGCGGACCCCCUGCGCAUCYGCGCGGCCGGCYGUCAUGGGGUCGUCUCUUCAUUCUCCCUCCCGGUGCAACUUCCGCCYGGGAGGGAUGCGUCUCGCCGGCUUUGCCUGUGUUGUUCUACCCUUGUYGGUAACUAAAUCGGUCCCAUGACGGAUGCGUUUGUGCUUUUGCCCUGUUGAUAUUUUAUUGUCGUCAGGGCAGCUGAAUUGUUGGCGAAACUCUUGUGCGYYGCCACGGCGGAAUGCCGGUGGUACCGCACUCUUGUGUCGUCGGCUCUUGCGGAUGCUGUGCCCACGGCGAGUUCUGCGGGCCUCUGGUCCUCAGCCUUUUGGGAGGUCCCYGGUACGGAUCGUUGCUCCGUCGCUCUCCCGUCUUGUCGGGUUUCCCGUCAUGCUGGAGCGGUGCGCGGGAUGCCUCUCUGACCCAAUGAGCAGCGAUUGACGGUUAGCGUUGUUAGAAGGGCCUCCCGUCCGGGGCGGUGCCGGAUACGACGUGCCGUCUCUCGUUUAAGACGUGC